UUAGAUCGUACCCACACUUACUUGGAUAACUGUGGUAAUUCUAGAGCUAAUACAUGCAAACAGAGCUCCGACCGGAGACGGAAGGAGCGCUUUUAUUAGAUCAAAACCGAUCGGUGGUGGGUUCGCCCAUCAUCGUACAAUUUGGUGAAUCUGAAUAACUUUAAGCUGAUCGCACGGUCUCGCACCGGCGACGCAUCUUUCAAAUGUCUGCCUUAUCAACUGUCGAUGGUAGGUUCUGCGCCUACCAUGGUUGUAACGGGUAACGGGGAAUCAGGGUUCGAUUCCGGAGAGGGAGCCUGAGAAACGGCUACCACAUCCAAGGAAGGCAGCAGGCGCGCAAAUUACCCACUCCCGGCACGGGGAGGUAGUGACGAAAAAUAACGAUACGGGACUCAUCCGAGGCCCCGUAAUCGGAAUGAGUACACUCUAAACCCUUUAACGAGGAUCAAUUGGAGGGCAAGUCUGGUGCCAGCAGCCGCGGUAAUUCCAGCUCCAAUAGCGUAUAUUAAAGUUGUUGCGGUUAAAAAGCUCGUAGUCGAAUCUGUGUCUCGCGCCGCCGGUUCAUCGUUCGCGGUGUUAACUGGCGUGCCGCGGGACGUCCUGCCGGUGGGCUUAGCUCGCGAGGGCGGCCCAAAUCAAUCCUGCCGCGGUGCUCUUCAUUGAGUGUCGAGGUGGGCCGGCACGUUUACUUUGAACAAAUUAGAGUGCUUAAAGCAGGCUAAAUUUCGCCUGAAUACUGUGUGCAUGGAAUAAUGGAAUAGGACCUCGGUUCUAUUUUGUUGGUUUUCGGAACCCCGAGGUAAUGAUUAAUAGGAACGGAUGGGGGCAUUC
rnacentral:rRNA from 1 species